rnacentral:rRNA from 1 species
UACGUAGGGGGCAAGCGUUAUCCGGAAUCACUGGGCGUAAAGGGUGCGUAGGUGGCCUAUCAAGUCAGGAGUGAAAGGCAGUGGCUUAACCACUGUAAGCUCUUGAAACUGAUGGGCUUGAGUGCAGGAGAGGUAAGUGGAAUUCCUAGUGUAGCGGUGAAAUGCGUAGAUAUUAGGAGGAACACCAGUGGCGAAGGCGACUUACUGGACUGUUACUGACACUGAGGCACGAAAGCGUGGGGAGCAAACAGG